GGCUACACCGAGGACCUGUUUAGGUUCGGGAUUCACGGAGCAUCAUUUGUUUUGGCUGCCCGGUCCGGAGACUUUCGCUGGAAACUGAAUUUCAAACAGCUCCUCUAAUUGCCUUGUGUUGAGUACCUCGCUCAGUAAAGGACCAGGAACUGAACCCUCUCCACAGAAGUAACCAGCGCCCCUUCAGUGAAAACACUGGAUCCUUAACCCACUGCACCACCAGGGAACUCCAGAAACCAUCUCUACAAGCUUUCUCUAAAUCUCUCUCCCAAGCUGCUGUUUCCCAUAUCACCAUUGUGAUGGUUAUUUCCCACUUUCAGUUCAGUACCUUUUCUUAAGUUCUUGCCCCAGUGCAAGGCACUGACUUAGCCACUGCCCAAGAUAUAGGAAAGAUCAGGACAGCCUACCUUCAGACAGCUUAUAAUCUGCUAAUGGGUGUAAGACUGUUUCAUAAAAGCUAUAGUUAAAGGAAGAACAGGAUAAAUUUUUUCUAGGGAGUUCCUGUUGUGGCGUUGCCAUGAGCUCUAGUGUAGGUCGCAGACGCAACUCAGAUCCCAAGUUGCUGUGGCUACCCUGGAAACCUCCAUAUGCCUCGGGUGGGUAUAGCCCUAAAAAGACAAAAAUAAAUAAAUAAAUAAUUUUUUCUAGAUGGAAAGAACACUAAACAGGCCUACUGGAAAGCAUGCCAGACUAGGGGCAAAACUAAACGGGGUUGGAACCUACUUCUAUAAUUUAUCAGUUACGCAAGCUGGCACGUGUUCCCUAACUUCUGAGCCUCCAUCAUUUCCUCUUCCAGACACUAGAUAAAUAUAGGGUGAACACAGUUAAGAGGCCAUCUCCAGAGCACAGGCCAGGGCACUAAGGCCUGGAGAAAGGAGAUAGAAUAAGUGUUGGGCUAGGAGACUCUCUAAAGACUUGGCAUCUAAUGGUGUGUCUAGACAGAGGUAAAAGAUACGCUUGUGGUCCAGAGCCUUGUUCACAGUUAGGAGGAUGCUGUCACAAACAGGAGAAAAGAUGGGAGUUCCUGAAUGGUGGUGGCAAAGGAAGGUUUGGUUUUUGGACCCUGCAGAGUUAGUGAAUGUUUCAUGCAGAAGCAGCAUACACCUGCCCAGCUUUGAGGUUGGGGGCCAUGUUCUCAGUCAAUAGCCACGGAUUAGCUCUGGUCUCCAUAACAAAAUAGCACAGGCUGGGUGGCUUAUUAAAAGAAUUUUCAGAAAUUUCUGAGGGCUAGAAGUCCAAGAUCAAGGUAACCAGCUGGUUUAAUUCCUGCAGAAGGCCCUCUUCCUCCCUUGCAGAUAGCUGCCUUCUCAUUGUCCUCAUUCCCUAGUGCUAGUGUUACAGAAAGAACAAGCUCUCUGGCUUUUCCUUUUUUUUUUUUUUUUUUGGUCUUUUUAGGGCUGCACUUGUGGCACAUGGAUGUUCCCUGGGCUACGGAUCAAAUCAGAGUUGCCACUGCCAGCCUAUACCACAGCCACAGCUACAGCAACACAGGAUCCGAGCCUUGUCUGUGACCUACACCACAGCUCACAGCAACAUGGGACCCCUAAUGAACUGAGUGAGGCCAAGGAUCAAACCUGCAUCCUCAUGGAUCCUAGUCGGGUUCAUUACCGAUGAGCCAAAUGGUACCUCCCUGGUAUAUCUUCUUAUAAGGACACUUAUCCUAUCAGAUCAGGGCCCCAUCCUACAGCCUUAUGAAUUUAGUCUUAAUGAUUUCCUUAGAGGUGCCAUCUCCAAAUAGAGCCACACUGGGGGGUUAGGGUUUCAACAUACUGGGGGGUGGGGAUACACAGCCAUUCAGUCCAUACCAAGCCACAUGCAGUCCAUGAUCGGGGAUGCAGACUGAAGUCAAGGCCUUGUCCUCCAGCAUCUAAUUAAGAAUGCACAUAAAAUCGCCCCAAAAAGAUCAUUAAGAUCAUAAUUUGGAAAAUAAAUACUAAGUUAGCAUUUGAGGAUGGAGGGAAAAACAGCUUGCUUGGACACACCGACAAUUUUCUCCCCUCCAGUCAAGGAAAUUCUAGGGGGAGCUUAAUUCUGCAAGAGGGCAUCACUGACAGUCCCCCGGACCUCACUUCCCAGUGUUUCCUGUGUUGCAAAAAUCUUGGUAGAAAUUGAUUUUCAAGCUCAGAAUUGGGGCAGGGGAAGGAGGGCAACAGAGCUGUGAACCUGGACUGAAUGAAUUCAAAGAUUCAGGGACACUGAAGAUUGAGAUCAACUGGAAGUAAAUGAUGGAAGGAGUGAUAAGCAAGGGGAACUGAGUCUAAGAAAGACACGAUGGUGGGAUGUGUUCAGAAAUGCAGGAAGGGAAAAGCAUCUGAGUUCUCAUUUUUCUCUGAUGCACAAAGGGUGGCGAUUACCCACCCGCCCACCCCUUAGUUUUCUAACACAUGGGAUUGGAUGGAAGUGAUUGAAAGGUCCUCUUGAGGCUUUAGACUUGGAUUUUGAAAAUCAUGGACAUGGAGAACAGACUUAUGGCUGCCAAGGGGGAGGGGAAGGGAGUGGGAUGGACUGGGAAUUUGGAGUUAAUAGAUGCAAACUAUUGCCUUUGGAAUGGAUAAGCAAUGAGAUCCUGCUAUAAAGCACUGGGAACUAUAUCUAGUCACUUAUGAUGGAGCAGGAUGGAGGAUAAUGUGAGAAAAAGAAUGUAUGUAUAUAUAUGUUUCUGCGUCACUUUGCUGAACAGAAGAAAAUUGACAGAACACUGUCAACCAGCCA
rnacentral:lncRNA from 1 species